AUUUAUAUAUGUAGUGUAUGGAAUAAAAAAUGACUUGUACCCACAUUAAAAGUCAUUAGAAUAUACCAAAAUAGUGUUGAAAUGUAAUGGAAAAUGAUGACCUCGCGGUACAGACAUUAGAAGUGGUACGCGUUUCUUUUUCAAGCCAUCAAUGGGGUUUGUUUUCGCGUUUGUUUCAGCAAUAGCUUGUGUUGAAGACCCACUAUCAUUAUUUACAUUCGGAUCUUCGAUUAUUAAUUUUUACCUUUUGUCGAAGGCAUUAAAUUGGACAAUUAUUCUUGAUUACCCAAUCUAGCGAUUGCGAUGAGCAGUUUUGUUGGCUUUAAUUAGUGACAUGACUUUGCAGCGUUCGGAUGGAAAGUAUUUUAUUUAUAUGUAUAGACACCUUUUGUAUGGAAUCUACUUAAUUCUGACUAAUAAUACUUCAUUGUUAUGUAUAUGUAAGUAAACGAAAUAUAUUAUCUAUUAGAAUAUA